ACUGAUUUAUUUAAGCCAAGCAAGUACCGACCCAAUUGAUUGAGAGACUUAUAGCACUGUUUGAUAUGGGUUAAUGCAGCAGAUGAGUUUUAGUAUGGACAUAAUUGACUAGACAUUUAUUCAUAGAUAGAAAGUAUGGGUAAAUAUAGCAUUUGAAAUACAAUUAAUUACCCACUCUCAUGCAAAAAUUAUCCACUAAACAAAAAGGGUGGUAAUGUUCCCAAAUACUAGUAGUCUCACUGAUUUUUAUCAAUAUGAGCUGCGUUUUCUCAAACAAAAUAUCGAAGUCAGAUAUCUUGAAUUUCACAAAUCCUCAAACAAAAUAUCAAAGUCAGAUUAUCUCGAAUUUCACAAAUCUCGACCAACCAUUCCGACCCAAGUUUUUUUCACAUAUAUAAGCAUCUCCAUCAAACACUUCAAAUGUAAGCAGGAACUUUAAGAGUCCAAAAUUGCUACUACUAUGUUGGAGCUAUAUUAAACUCUUCGAAUCUGAUCCAAAAAAGAAAAAGUAGGCUCCUCGAAAAUCAACUCAUCUUUCAAGUACAAUAAGGAAAUUGGGUACUACUAGUUUUUACCUGUUACCCUUUCUGUUCUACAGCACAUUCGACAUCUCUUGUAAUAACCAAACUCAUUGACCCACCAAAGCGACCAAUAGCGGAAAAAAGAAGAAGGAGAAGAAAAGGUAUAGCCCAUGCUAUCAAUGUAUUUUACAUUAUACAUAGUUUCAUUUUAGCUCGGUUCCUUGUUGGGAGAUGAGUUGAGGUGGAGGGAAAGCACAUCACCCUCUCAAUAGCCCACUCCCACCGUACCCAAUCUGCUAGGGAAACAAAACCUAAUCAGUUUGAAUACAGUUUUUGAAUUUCACAAAUGGUGAGAACCAGGGUAAACAAACAUGCUACAGAUCAAAACAAAAAAGGGGCAAAGAGAAAGCGGAAAACAGAAGCAAAAGAGCGGAUACAGGGAGUUAGCAAAGUAAAUGGUACUGAUUUCCAGC